CUUUUCAGUUGUGAAUACUUAAAAAAAAUGACAACUCCAGAAAACGCACCAUUGUCGAUAUUUUUACAAUAGCAUCAAUAAUUUUCGUCGUCUGAAGGGAAAUUAAAAACAUAACCUGAAUAGUUAUACCUACACAAUAAUGAGGAUAAGCUGAUGAGAAAUUUCUAACAUUUGAAAAAUUUUCAAAUACAUUUAAUGAAUGUGUUAAAGAAAUAAUUCGCGCGUCCAUGUGAACCUAGCCUUAGUAGAACACAACAAUGAUAUACCCAGCACGCGUUGGCGUUGGUAUUAUCACAUUUCCAAUGUGUUAUCGGUAAAUUUAUCUGCUGGUAAAUUCCAAUAAUUAAAGUCGAAAGUAUGACGCAGAUUACAUGUUCCAUUUUGUUUUCUGCUGUGGCAUAAAUUACCAAAAUUAUUUUUAGAUGUGGCGCAAAAUACACAUUUAAUUUUUAUAUUUUGGCGCAAAUUACAAGUAAUAAAAUUGGCGCAAAAUACCAUCUCCCCAUUUUUUGGACCGAUUGAUUGGCAUGCAGGCCGCAGUGGUGCAAAUUAUAACCGUUUAGUCGCAGUAGGUAUCCAGUCGGGCCAAUUUUUUAUUUAAUAUAGGUGAACCUAAUCAAAAUCACGAAGCUCGAUGAAGAUCAAUCUUGAAUCUACAAAGAACAAACAAAAAUUGUACAAUAAUACGUAGAUGUUGAGUCAACCUGUAAAACAGUAAAUCCUAGCAUUGACUUAAGCCGUGGUUUCCUACAACCACGCAUCCGUGAUUACGUGGAGCGCGAUGCGUAAUGGAAGUGUUUUGCUACGAUGCGUGUUUACGACUGAGUGGUUUGGAGCAGAAAAUUUUAGUCAGUUGAUGUUUAGUAGUACAUCAAAAUGGACGUGGUUAUGCUUUAUACAAUUUUGAAGUACUAUUGCUACUUCCGAAUAAUUUCCGUAAUGGAAAUUAUGAAAUGUUUAGUCAACGGAACA